rnacentral:rRNA from 1 species
AGAUAUGGUCCCGAGCCCUACGGGGUUUAGCAUGGAGGAAUCUUGCGCAAUGGGCGAAAGCCUGACGCAGCGACGCCGCGUGGGGGAUGAAGGCCUUCGGGUUGUAAACCCCUUUUCUGGGGGACGCAAAUGACGGUACCCCAGGAAUAAGCCACGGCUAACAGGGUGCCAGCAGCCGCGGUAAUACCUUGGUGGUAAACGUUAUCCGGAAUCACUGGGCGUAAAGCGCUCGUAGGCGGCACGACAGGUGUUCGGUGAAAGCCCCCGGCUCACCCGGGGAGGGUCCGAGCAAACCGUCGAGCUAGAGGCAGGCAGAGGACCGUGGAACGUCCGGGGGAGUAGUGGAAUGCGUAGAUCCCGGACGGAACACCAGAGGCGAAGGCGGCGGUCUGGGCCUGUCCUGACGCUGAGGGGCGAAAGCGCGGGGAGCAAACUGGAUUAGAUACCCUGGUAGUC